UACGAAGGGGGCUAGCGUUGUUCGGAAUUACUGGGCGUAAAGGGCGCGUAGGCGGUGCCUCAAGUCAGGCGUGAAAGCCCGGAGCUCAACUCCGGAACUGCCUUUAAGACUGCAUCGCUAGAACGUUGGAGAGGUAAGUGGAAUUCCGAGUGUAGAGGUGAAAUUCGUAGAUAUUCGGAAGAACACCAGUGGCGAAGGCGACUUACUGGACAACUGUUGACGCUGAGGUGCGAAAGCGUGGGGAGCAAACAGG
rnacentral:rRNA from 1 species